rnacentral:rRNA from 1 species
UACGGAGGGUGCAAGCGUUGUCCGGAUUUAUUGGGUUUAAAGGGUGCGUAGGUGGCCCUGCAAGUCCGUGGUGAAAGCCUGCUGCUCAACAGCAGAACUGCCAUGGAUACUACAGGGCUUGAGUCCAGACGAGGUUGGCGGAAUGGAAGAUGUAGCGGUGAAAUGCAUAGAUAUCUUCCAGAACCCCCGAUUGCGUAGGCAGCUGACUAGGCUGGUACUGACACUGAGGCACGAAAGCGUGGGGAGCGAACAGG